ACUCAAAUGAAUAGACGGGGGCCCGCACAAGCAGCGGAGCGUGUGGUUUAAUUCGAUGCUACACGAAGAACCUUACCAGGGCUUGACAUGCACGUGGUAGCGAAGCGAAAGCGGAGCGACCCUUCGGGGAGCGUGCACAGGUGCUGCAUGGCUGUCGUCAGCUCGUGUCGUGAGAUGUUCGGUUAAGUCCGCUAACGAGCGCAACCCUCGCCGCGUGUUAUACGUGUCACGCGGGACUGCCAGUCUUAAGCUGGAGGAAGGUGGGGAUGACGUCAAGUCAGCAUGGCCUUUAUGUCCUGGGCUACACACACGCUACAAUGGCCGGUACAAUGGGUCGCGAAGUCGCGAGGCGAAGCCAAUCCACAAAGCCGGUCUCAGUUCAGAUUGCAGGCUGCAACCCGCCUGCAUGAAGAUGGAGUUGCUAGUAACCGCAGGUCAGCUAUACUGCGGUGAAUACGUUCCCGGGCCUUGUACACACCGCCCGU
rnacentral:rRNA from 1 species